AAAAAAAGACAAAACAAGUAAAUGGAUUUGCUAUUAUUCAAAAACCACAAACUGAGACCAAUAAAUAUCAAGAUUUUUUUGAAUUAAUAAAUAAAGUUCCUAUUACCACAUCACCUGUAGUGUCAACUAGUAAUAGACCAAUAGAUGAUGAGAGUCCCUAUCAUGUUGAUAUUAGUGAGUUUCUUUCUGGUGAGACGAUUCCUUCACACAUUGUUGAAG